rnacentral:rRNA from 1 species
AAGCAACGCGCAGAACCUUACCAACCCUUGACAUCUGGAUCGCGGUUACCGGAGACGGUUCCUUCAGUUCGGCUGGAUCCAAGACAGGUGUUGCAUGGCUGUCGUCAGCUCGUGUCGUGAGAUGUUCGGGUUAAGUCCCGCAACGAGCGCAACCCUCGCCUUAGUUGCCAUCAUUAAGUUGGGCACUCUAGAGGGACUGCCGGUGAUAAGCCGGAGGAAGGUGGGGAUGACGUCAAGUCCUCAUGGCCCUUACGGGUUGGGCUACACACGUGCUACAAUGGCGGCGACAAUGGGCAGCGAAGGGGCGACCCGGUGCCAAAUCCCAAAAAGCCGUCUCAGUUCGGAUUGUACUCUGCAACUCGAGUGCAUGAAGGUGGAAUCGCUAGUAAUCGCGUAACAGCAUGACGCGGUGAAUACGUUCCCGGGCCUU